AAAGUGCGAUAACUCAGGUGAAUUGCAACUGGCGCGAAUCCUUGAACUUUUGAACGCAUACUGUGCCCCGGUGUAACAGCCGGGGCGUGUCUGCUUGAGCGUCAUAUACAAAACAUCACUGUCUCUCUCUAUCUUCGGAUGGGGUCUGUGCAUGUGGACAUGGGUUUUGCAGUUAGUUCUGCAUCACCUUAAAUACAUUUGGUGGGGUUCGCUGGUGAACACACUGUGUGUCUGUCGUUGUUAAGGGGAAUUUUUCUUCAUGAUACGAUGGGUCCAGUGCAAGUAGUUGGCAUUUACGGGUCCUGUUAAGCCAAAAAUCUGUUGCCUCAAUUUCUCGACCUCAAGUCAGGCACGAUUACCCGCUGAAUUUAA
rnacentral:misc_RNA from 1 species